GUGCAUGGCUUUAUUAUUAUUAUUAUUAUUAUUAUUUUAUUAUUUUGUACCGGGAUUGAACUCAAGACCUUGCGCUUGCGAGGCAGGCAUAUUAAUAUUAUUAUUAUUGGCUUUUUUGAGACAGGGUCUCAUUGUGCAGUUCAGGCUGGCCUCAAACUCACUUUGUACCCCAUGCUGGCCUGCAACUCAUCAUGUUCCUCCUGCCUCAGCUUCCCGAGUUCUGGGAUUACAGGAACAUGUGGCAGGGCACAGCCGGUCAUCCUGUCUGUGUUUGGGGGACACCUGAGAUCCGAACCAGAGCACCCACUUUGCUGUACCCUCCCAGAGAUGCCUUGAAAGCGGAACUGUUGGACUCAUGUUGACCAGUGCUUGACCAGCGUCCAUUGCGAGCAUGAAUAAAGUCCAUUUACGCUUUCCCCAUGACUAACUCCUGAUCCUCCCAAGCCCUGGACUCCUAAAGAGCAACAGGGCCUCUGCUGUGCUGGAAGAGUCAGGGUUUGGCCUGACUGCUGAUUUCUUUCUGCUAAAUUUUACACCCCCUUUGCCACCUUCCCCCAGGACCCCGUGGGCCAUGAGAAUGGUAGAUGCUGAGACACAAGACUCCAAGAGCCAGCACAAGGAUGGAGGCUUGUGACACAGCGCGGUGGACAGGAGUGGAGGGGCCAGUCCUGCUUUGGCUCCUUUGAGCCGUGCGGCCUCAGCUGUAUUCCUAACCUCAUUGCUGCCAUGGUACAGUGGGGUCUCCAGACUCCACCUGGUUGGAUUGUGUGAGGACAGAGACCAGCAUAUGGAGAACCCAGGCUUUGGCCAAAGCCAGAUCAUUUCCACAGCACGAGAUGAACCACAUUUGGAAGAAGAACUGCUCCUGAACUUGGAGAACUAAAAACAAAACAAAAAAAUUUCUAAGAGUCUUAAAGGCACAGCAAGUUUGUAAAUUGGGUGACACCUCCGCCCUCAAGGAAGCCACAGUUAUUCAUGAGUAGCAGACCUCGACUUCAGCACACAUGGAAAUGGUUUGCAUGCCGACAUCGCCGGCCAGGUGGGUGACACCAGAUGGUCACCGUGACCAACAGCAGGAGCACACAGCCUGGAUCACCCAUCUUGAAGACACCCCAGGAACCCAUAAAUAAACCAGCUUUGGAUCAUAA
rnacentral:lncRNA from 1 species